GGGUUCUUAGCUCAGUUGGUAGAGCAGCGGACUCUUAAUCCGUAGGUCGAGUGUUCGAGUCACUCAGGGCCCACCA
rnacentral:tRNA from 1 species